GGAAUGAAGCCCCCCCACCUAUCAUGAGGUAAGAGUUCCUUGUUUAAAAAAAGAGGUGGAAAAGAAAAAUAAAAUUGUAGAAGAUCAUAAGGUUCAAUGAAAAACGUAUGGUUGUUCCAUUAUGAUGGAUAAAUGGACAGCACAGAAUGGGAAAAUGAUCAUCAAUAUUUUGGUGAAUUCUCCAAAAGGGAGUGUGUUCCUUGAAUCUCAUGAUGCUAGUGACUCUUCUACUGACUCUAAUAAGAUGUUUAACUUGUUUGAGAAGACUAUCUUGAAAAUAGGCAAGGAAAAUGUGGUACAAGUUGUGACUGAUAAUGCAAGUGAGAACAAAAAAGUGACAUGUUGAAGGGAGUGUUCCCACAUAUUUUCUGAACUCCUUGUGCUGCUCACUGUAUCAACUUGAUGUUUGGUGACAUUUUCAAAGAGGCCCCGUAUUCUACAGUUUUUGAUAAGGCUGUUAAGAUACAUUCUUAU